CGCCAUCUUUACUCCGGGCGAGCGGGGCGCCGGCCGGGCCCUGGCGGCCACGUUAGGGCCGGGCAAGGGCGCCCCCCGCCCCCCUCCCUUCCCGGCUUCCGGCGCCCCAGUUCCAGCCGCGGGAGCCGAGCCGGCCGCGCUCGGAGAGACGCCUCCGCGGACGGGCGAGGUCAGCGGGCGCUGCGGCGGGCGGGGCCUCGGGGUGGGCGCGCGGGCAGCUGCGCGCAGAUGGCGGGGAAGAGGCCGCCGUGCGCGGGCGGGCAGCGCCGGCUGCUGGGGCUGCUGGUGGCCGUGGCCGCCGUGCACCUGCUCAGCUGCCCCUACACGAAGGUGGAGGAGAGCUUCAGCCUGCAGGCGGCGCACGACCUGCUCUUCCACCGGCUGCGCCUGGAGCAGUACGACCACCUGGAGUUCCCGGGCGUGGUCCCCAGGACGUUCCUCGGGCCGCUGGUUCUCGCCGCGCUGUCCAGCCCCGGGGUCUGCGCGCUCGCGCUGCUGGGCGCGUCCAAGUUCUACGCGCAGCUGACCGUUAGAGCCGUCCUUGGACUCGGAGUGAUCUUUGGACUUUGGACUUUGCAAAAAGAAGUGCGACGGCAUUUCGGGGCCACGGCGGCCACCAUGUUCUGCUGGAUGACGGCCUCGCAGUUCCACCUGAUGUUCUACUGCACGCGGACGCUCCCCAACGUGCUGGCCCUGCCCGUGGUGCUGCUGGCCCUGGCGGCCUGGCUGCAGCAGCGGUGGGCCCGCUUCAUCCGGCUCUCGGCUCUGGCCAUCCUGGUCUUCCGGGCCGAGCUGAGCCUGCUCCUGGGCCUCGUGCUGCUGCUGCUGCUCUGCACCCGGCGGCUGUCCGUGGCCAGGGCCCUGCGCUGUGCCGUGCCCGCCGGCCUGCUCUGCCUCGGACUGACGGUGGCGGUGGACUCCUAUUUUUGGCGCUACCUUGUGUGGCCGGAAGGAACUGUGCUCUGGUAUAACACCAUCCAGAACAAAAGCUCUAACUGGGGAACCUCGCCCCUGCUGUGGUACUUCUACUCGGCCCUGCCCCGGGGCCUGGGCAGCAGCCUGCUGUUCGUGCCCCUGGGCCUCGUGGACAGAAGGGCCUUGGCCUUGCUCCUGCCGGCACUGGGGUUCGUGGCCCUGUACUCGCUGCUCCCCCACAAGGAGCUGCGUUUCAUCAUCUACACCUUCCCCCUGCUGAACGCUGUGGCCGCCCGGGGCUGCGCCUACCUGCUGAACAACUACAAGAAGUCCUGGCCGUACCGAGCAGGCUCCCUCCUCGUGCUCGGGCACCUCGUGCUGAACGCCGCCCACUCGGCCACGGCCCUCUACGUGUCCCACUUCAACUACCCUGGUGGCGUGGCCAUGCAGCGGCUGCACGAGCUGGUGCCCCCCCGGACAGACGUUGUCCUGCACAUCGAUGUGGCUGCUGCACAGACGGGCGUGUCUCGGUUCUUGGAGGUCAACGGUGCCUGGAGAUACGAGAAGAGGGAGGAUGUGCAGCCUGGGUCGGAGCACAUGCUGGCCUAUACACACCUGCUCAUGGAGGCGGCCCCUGAGCACCUGGGCCUCUACAGGGACACACACCGGGUGCUGGCCAGUGUUGCAGGCACCACGGGGGUGAGUCUGAACCUGACCAGGCUGCCUCCCUUCAACGUCAACCUGCAGACAAAGCUGGUGCUUCUGGAGAGACGGCUCAGGCCCUCCUGAGGGAACGCCUAGCGCCCGACGAGAACAGCACAGGCACAACCACACACAUGAUGUGCCUCCUACCCAGGCCCUGGAAGGCCGGCCAAAGCCACCCCGCCACCCCGCCACCCCUGAGACAGGGACCCCACGUUUGCACUGCACACCAGGGGGCCUGGGCACAGCCGGCUGCCCUGGGAAGCUGCUUUGGGGAGGCAGCCACAUCUGCUGCCCGUGGGCCUGAGCACCUAACCAAGUGCAGCCUUUGGGAAGGUCACGUGUCUGUAGCUGUGAAGUCGGAGCCUUCGCACCUGCUGGAUGGCGUACCCCGACCUGAAUCCCACGCUGGGCAAAUUUUUCUCUAUCGUCCCAGGGACACAGUUCCAUCACGAGGAAAUUUCAGACAUACACGUUCAAGUGGGAUGAGAAUUAAAGUAAUUGUCAGCAACACAGCAGUAAAUACCAACACGAAGCAGAUGAUUAUUGUACAUCACACAGGGAGAACAAAAGUUUCUUAAAGCUGGGAACAGGGAAACACGCAAGGAUCUGAAGAGAAGGAGCAACAGAAAGAGACAAGGUGGGGCUGCUGCAGCUCACUGGGAAGUCAGAGAAGGAAGGCGGCCUUGGGGACAGGAUCAGGGAGCCAACCUGGAUUCGCGGCUGCUGCCCACCACUCUCCUAUUUAAGUCUCAUGGAGUCCCUUAGAGUUUAGGAGAUGCACACCUGAGAGGGAUGAAGAGGAAGAAGGGAAAGGCAUGGGAGUGCUCCCAAGGAGAAGAAAAAGAUCAACUCCCAGUUUUUAAAAAACUUUAUAGUUAUGGGUUAAAACCUAAUCAUCCUGUUUCAUAACUGACAGGACAGGCUAUUUCUAGUGUCUUUGUAAAAACACACCGCGGUACCUGGCUUGAAGGACUUGGAGUAAGGCACAUAUAGACGUUACGGUGAGACUGCAAGAGAACUCAGUGUGGACCUGAGAGUGCCCGGUCUGAUGUCCCCCUUGGCACCAACUGGUGCCAACCAACAGCCUGUGACAAACAGCUGGUGCCUAAUGAGCAACAACACCUUUAGCCUGGUGGCCCCAUUGUGAUUUCAAUACUGAAAAUAUAUUAAUGGAAGAUUCACUUUCAAAAAGAUAAGUUUUUCAAAAUGUUCCAUCAUGAGCCUGGACUGGCCAAAACUACCGUUCUCAGUGGGUGUGCUGAACAGCCUUUCUGAAGGGACAAUACUCGGGGGACAGCCCAAAAACCUGACGGCCAAGGCUGAGAGUCCUGGCCAGGCAGACUUCUUUAGGUUCCAGUAGGUAAGUGGGUCACAGCUGUGUUCAAGCACCUCCUCCUCCAGGUAAGAAAGCACCAUGGCCUCAGGAACCUUCAUCUUUUCUCUUGGGCCUUUCUUUUUUAUCUUGGCCAUGAGUGACCACAGGCUCUCAUCCCCACUGGAGUCUCUCGAUGGGGAGCCUGGAGGACACCCAUUGGAGACAGGUAUGUCCUCUGAGGUAGAAUUCAGCAUUUCUAGUUCCCUGAUUAAAUCCUGCUUGUACUGCUCCGCCUCCUCCUCGGAGAACAGGGAGGCUUUGUAACGAGGGUCCAACAGUGUAGCAAAGAUGUACCUGGGGUCGUGGAGGGUGGCGGACAGUCGGCUCACCAUGGCUUCCUUCAGAGACUUCAGCAUGGUGUCGAUGCCCAUGGUCUCCUCAAACAGCAUCUCGAUUUUUCUGUUCAGAAUGUGGAUCAUGGGGAUGACCUGGCUGAGGGUAGACAUGUGGCCACUCAUCUCCCGACUCGCAGCAUCAAAGGGCUUCAGCGCAUGACACACAGACUUCAUGACCUCCCACUGGUCACAACUGAUCAGUUCUCUGAAAUUACACUCGAUGGACAUCUCGUUAAUUGCUCUCUUCUGCUCAAUGAGCCGUUCGAGCAUAUGAAACGACGUGUUCCAUUUGGAUGGGACGUCCUGAAUAAGGUGGUGGGGCGGCAAUUCAUACUCCUUCUGCAGCUCUGCCAGUUUCUCUUUUGCUGCAUGUGAGCGAAGCACCCGCUCACAUAGCUUCCGAGCAAUGCUGAGUAAAUUCUGCACCAUUCUCUGGCUUUUAAUGGCCUCGUUGACAAUGAGGUUCACCGUGUGACUGAAGCACUGCACGCUGGAGUGCUCCCCUUCAUUCAGCGUCUUUCCUAUGCUGGGAUUGUCAGUCACUGUAAUGCCAACCUGAAGGCCAGUGGAUGUCACCCAGGCCUCCCACCAACAUUCCAGCUGCUUCUGAAUGCUGUUGCCGCUAUAGUCGCAGUCAAUCUGUGACACGUCUAACAGUGCUGAGCAGUGGUGAUCCUCACAGUGCCAGACUGUUGACUUGAAGGUGAUCCAGUGAGCAGUGAGUGUCAGGUACUCCCGGGUCUGGUUACUCAUCCAUAUUCCAGACGUGAAGUGAACCAUGCCACUCUCAGCCUCCUUAAGGUGUGACAUAAUGAUUUGUUUCACAUUAUCGUACAUUGCGGGGAUAGCUGUCCUGGAAAAGUAGGAAGGGGAGGGCAAAGAGUACUGAGGUUUCAAGUAUUCAAGCAGCCUGUUAAAGCCAACAUUAUCAACAAAAGAAUAUGGCUGAAGGUCAAGUGCAAUCAUUUCAGCUAUGAGACUUGUUAUCUUUUUGGCAACUGGAUGAGAAUCAUAAAACUUCUCAUCAGUGUCGUCAAAGGAGGAAGCUCCUGACAAUUCUGCGCUCAGGGGCACACUGACGCCUGGAGGAGAGGGCAGCAUGGUCUUGGGGGCAUCGGUCUUCAGCACACUGCCGUGAAACCUUUGUAAAUGCCUCAGAAGACAGCUGGUGCCCAGGUUAGUUGGCUUCUUGCCCCUGCUUAUUGUCCGGCCACAGUGCAAGCACACGACUUUAGUGGGGUCUGCAGAGCACACAGAAAAGUGAUUCCACAGCUUGGAGGUCUUUUUACUGUGAACGGGAAAUAGAACUGGACUGCUUUGGGUAACCACUGCUGGAAGGUCAGUUAGUUUGGAGGAAGUUUCUGUGGAUGCCAAGGUGUUGUAUGGAGGGUUUGCCAAACUAGCCCCCAGGAAGCCCUUUUGGUUCCCAACAACUUCUGGGUGGCGCCUGUAGAGAUGUCUCAUCAAACAGCUGGUGCCCACAUCACCCUUCUUUCCUCGACUGAUGACACAGCUGCAGUGUCUGCACACCGCCUUCAGACUGUCCAUGGGGGCGAGGGAAAAGUGAUGCCAGACCUCCGACUUCAGUCUCUUCAUCACCUUUUGAUUCUGUUGGAAUAUAACACCAGACUCAACCAUGUGAGGGCUCGACCCAUCACGCUGGUGCUUCUCAGGGGAGGACACCAACGAGGCCUCGCCCACAUCAUCAGAGGAUGACAACACUGAUGCAUCUUCCAUCGGUGAAUCCCCAGGCUUCAGACGUGCCUGCAGUUGCUCAGUCAGCUGGUCAGGGGAGGAGGACGCCGAGGGGGACUCUUGUACCUCGUUGCCUGGCGAUGAGGACAUAGGGCUUGGGUUUCCCUCCUGCGUUGGUAGGGUGGGCAACAAAGUGGUGGGUGUAGAGUACGGUGGCGUAAUAGCUGCACCCACACUCUUCUCCUGCAGUAUGAUGGCACGGUGUGCCCGCCACAUGUGCCGGAUGAGGCAGCUGGUACCCAGGUCCUUCCCGUUUUUCCCUCUGCUGAACUCACUCAUGCAGUGAAUGCACACGGCCUUGGAGCUGUCCAGAGGUGACAGGUAGAAGUGCUUCCAGACUGCAGACCACCUUCGGGAUCCAGAGGUACUCUUUGGAAGUGGAAAGCUCUUCUCUGGCCCACUCUCUGCAGAGUCAUCAUGCUGGGGAGUGGGGAGUGGUUGGGGUGGCUCCACCAGGGCUUCUUCCUGCCUAUACUUCUCAGAGAUGGAUACAUCAGAGGAGACCUCUUCAGAAGAUACGACAGAUCCAGAUUGUUCUGUCACUUGCUCAGUAGAUGGGAUCUUGGAGGCUUUUUUCUGGACAAGUUUGAUGGGUGACAGUACGGUGCCCAGGUCUCCAAGGGGUGUGGGCUGAGCAGGGAACACCAGUGCAGGGGAGGAGAUGGAUCCCAGGGUAGACACACUGCCUUCCUCUUGGAUGAGUGCUGUGGGGUGCGCCCUCCUCACAUGCCGCAUGAGACAGCUCGUGCUCAGGUCCUUCUCGUUUUUGCCGCGGCUGAACUCUUUCAUGCAGUAAACACACACUGCCUUCGUGCUGUCCUGAGGAGAGAUGAAGAAAUGUUUCCAGGCCGGAGACUUCUUCCUGGAGUUCAUGCUGCGGCUGGACAGGAGGCUCUGUGUCACAGCUUCCAUGGCAACAUCAUACAACGUGCUGCUGUACUGUGAGAACAGGGCCCCAUAGUCGUCCUCGUGGUCGGCAGGGAAACACUUCCCUGGGGGCUUACAGCUGUAGCUCGCUUCUCUGAUCUCUACCUGUUCAUCACCACUGCCAGCUGCUUUCCUGUCCUCUUGUUCAGUCUUAAAGUCCACUCUUUCCAAGCUGUGAUUCGGAAUUCCAUCAUCUUCUUCAAUUUUAAAAUUUAUUUUAUCAGAAACUAAGUCACCAUCCCCUUUGGGGGAAUGGGUUUCCUGGUUAUUUUCCAUGACUCACCAUAACUAUUCUGGCUGUGUCGUCAUGUUGGUAUCUCAGGUUGGUAAGAAAAAGAUCCAAGCUCUCAAUUUGCCCCAAACAUCCAUUAUCUUCAGUGUUUUCAAAAUAAUUCUAACUUUUGGGAUGUUCAUGAAUACGGCUAAUCAUACAUGUUACUGGAGAGCAGAAGCUGCAACUCAGGAGCACAUCAUCUCAGGGCCCAGACCACUGCUUUCCAGGAGUUUUAUAAAGUACUUCUUGGUGCAGACCUAAAUUCAUGCUGUGUAUACCUGCUUGUUGCCUUGGAAACAGGAUCGCCGCCAUCUUGAUGGUCCUGCAUUACCUACAAAAGAUGAAAUCAGCUCAAGCACUUAACUGAUUUACGCAUUUCAAACCUUGUAAUGUCAGGGAUCUAUCAGCUUUAAUUUGCAUAUAAAAAAAUUCUAUAAUGGUAAAUUAAAAUAGAAAAACUU